AUGGGAGGGGCUUGGGUACAAUUCCGAAUACGCUAUUAUAUGUUUGCGCUCGUUUUUGUUGUUUUUGAUGUGGAAACCGUCUUUCUAUACCCUUGGGCAAUGAGUUUCGAC
rnacentral:rRNA from 1 species